UACGUAGGCAGCAAGCGUUGUUCGGAGUUACUGGGCGUAAAGGGUGUGUAGGCGGUUCUUUAAGUGUCUUGUGAAAUCCCACGGCUCAACCGUGGAACUGCUGGGCAUACUGGACAUCUCGAGGCACUCAGGGGCGAGCGGAACAAGUGGUGGAGCGGUGAAAUGCGUAGAUAUCACUUGGAACGCCAAUGGUGAAGACAGCUCGCUGGGGGUGUCCUGACGCUGAGGCGCGAAAGCCAGGGGAGCGAACGGG
rnacentral:rRNA from 1 species